GCCGAAGUGGCGGAAUUGGUAGACGCGCACGCUUCAGGUGCGUGUGGGGCAACUCAUGAGAGUUCGAGUCUCUCCUUCGGCA
rnacentral:tRNA from 1 species